rnacentral:rRNA from 1 species
GGCUUAAUGAAUAUAAUUUUAAGUCAAUCUGCCCAAUGAUUUUUAAAUUUAAUGGCUGCAGUAUAAUUGACUGUACAAAGGUAGCAUAAUCAAUUGUUUCUUAAUUAGAAACUGGUAUGAAAGAAUUAAUGAGAUAUAUACUGUCUCAUAUAUAUUAGAUUAAAUUAAAAUUUUAGUAAAAAUGCUAAAAUAAUUUUAUGGGACGAUAAGACCCUAUAGAAUUUUAUAUUAAUAUAUAGAUUUAAUUUAUUUUAUAAAUUAAUAUUUAAUUGGGAGGAUUGAUAAAUUUAUUGAACUUUAUUUUAAAUAUAAACUUUGAUUUAAGAAUUUUUAAUGAUCUUAUUUUAUAAAUUAUAAGAAAAAAUUACCUUAGGGAUAACAGCGUAAUAUCUUUUUAAAGGUCAAAUUGAUAAAGAUGAUUGCGACCUCGAUGUUGAAUUAAGAUAAAUUUUAAAUGGAGAAAUUUAAUAAUUAAGUCUGUUCGACUUUUAAAAUCUUACAUGAUUUGAGUUCAAAUCGACGUGAGU